rnacentral:tmRNA from 1 species
GGGGGCGUUAUAGAUUCGAUUGUGCGUCGAUUGAAGAGGUGUAAGCAUACCGAAGGCUCGACUUCGUUAAAACGGAACUUAAAUUUAAAUGCAAACAAUAAUGAAGUUGCAUUCGCUGCGUAAUUAGCGAACGUCAUUCUCUUUCUCGCCUGUUGGGAAGGGUUUUGGCGUCAAAAUGACAGGGUACUGUUAUUUGAGUUUGAUUUUACUUAAAUAAUCGACUUAAAAAAUCAAAGGGCAGAUAUCGGUUGCCGUUAACCAAAUCUGCCACGAAAAUUAAUUAUCGGAUAAGUAUGUAGAAAACUUUUUUAAUGCGUAUAAGACUGGAGUGCAAGUCUCCACGUCUCCACCA